UACGUAGGUGACCAGCGUUGUCCGGAUUUACUGGGCGUAAAGAGCGCGCAGGCGGUCGUUCAAGUCGAGUGCGAAAGCCCCCGGCUCAACUGGGGAGGGUCACUCGAUACUGAUCGACUUGAAGGCAGGAGAGGGAAGCGGAAUUCCCGGUGUAGUGGUGAAAUGCGUAGAUAUCGGGAGGAACACCAGUGGCGAAGGCGGCUUCCUGGCCUGUUCUUGACGCUGAGGCGCGAAAGCUAGGGGAGCAAACGGG
rnacentral:rRNA from 1 species